CUCCGGUAUCGUUUCUUAAGAGAUGGUGAGUAAGCUAAGGGACGUGAGUCUUAUUGGAGGUCUUCGUUCUGGCUGCGGGCACAGGGGCCGGGUCUCUAGGACCUCAGAAGGAAAGGGCAGCAAACAGCCCAGCGUGGCAACCAGGGAAUUUCAACAAGCUCCGCUUGGGGAAGGAAGGAUUUGAGGAAGCGGAUCCCCGAUUGGGAUGGGGCAGGGGGUGGGGAGCAGGGCCCGGGUCGGCAGCCCUUGGUACUCCUAGGCUCGCAAGGAGCAGUUCCGGGCCGGCGGCUCAGACUCUGAGAUGGGCAUCGCCUGUUUGGGAGAUUCCAAUUCAGGAAGUCGCGGAUUGAUGAUAUCCUGAAUUUUUUGAUGGCGGCCAUCCACCCACUUCUCUACUAAUUUCAGAGCUUUUUGUCUGUGAAGCUAUUUGUAUAAAGAGCUGCAGAAGUUGAAUCUUCAUGGUCUGUACGUAUCCCUUUGAGAAUUUGAAAUCACAGUACAAGUUGUAAGCGAUUGUUUUGCUGGUGUAUUGUUGCCGGCUGUUUUUUGGUAGCAUCUGAGGCACACACUGGUGGAAUUCCACUCUAAAUAUCACUUGGCAUUUGAGAGUCAUAGCCCAGCUCAGAAUUCAAUUCUUGAGACUGUAUCCUGAUUCUCAUCGUCUCGCGGGAGCUACAGGGAGUGCAGGCUUGUAGACAGGGCCCAAAGCAGGACUAGCUUGGGCCCUGCUCUCUGAGUCCCUUAGGAGAAGUCCCCUUCUAGGACUCCUGAAGGAAGUAAUAGGAGUAGGUUGCAGGAAAGGUCAAUUAAAGGAAGUAGAUUACAUCCAACUGGUGCUCAGAGAUUUUUCUCCCUGUGGUGUGUUGGGAGUUACAAUAAAAUCUUGUUACCUACCUUCUGGCUCAUUUUUCUUUCACAGCCUUGCUUUCCUGGGAGUGUUCUUUGCCAGAGAGAAUUGCGAAGAAGAGGAAAGACUAAACCCUGGCCUCUUGUCAUUAGAGCCCCAGGUCGGCCUUCUCAAGCCUCAGCCCUUCCCCAGGAUGGGGAAGACAAGACCAGUUUCAGUAGCGACGAGAGAGGUGGCAUGAUCCUGUCUGAGAGAUGAAGAAAUGCGUGUAAAUCCUAGGUUUGAACCCAGGGCAACCACGUCUCAAGCCUGGUAACAUAGCCCGUUUGGAACAAGACACAGAGAGAAACUCCAAGAGAGGCACAUCCAGGUGAGAACCACGGAGCCUGGAGUCCUGGCCAGGCAGCCAGGGGUGAGCUCGCCACGCACAGGCUGAUCCCCACCCUGACCUUGACUGUGGAUACGGCAGGUACCAUAGUAGGUGACUGUUGUGCGGCCUCAUUUCUCUGACUCAGUCCUGACCUUCUCGUCGUUCCGUCACGCUUUCCAGAGAGUGACAGACCCAGAGCGGGAGAGGGGGUCUCUGGACUUUCUCCCAUUGAUAGUAAGAGACAGGCAGUGGAAGACAAGCAAGCCUGGGGCAGAGAGACCCUUCCAGAAGGUUGAGAGGUCACGGAUUUCUCACUUAACUUGGGUCCUGCAAGUUCGUGUCUAGAAACGGGUUCCUGUUACCUCAGCCUUAAAAGAUAAAAAUAGCCGAAAAGAAUAUCAGCAGGGACACAUUUUUAAAACCAUGUGGAGGGAGCUCUGAGGUAAAUAUGACAAUGUACUGACUCAGCAUCAGUGACGGGGAUGCACUGAGAUUUUUAUGUCCAGACCUCAUCCCUGUCACCCGGAUUCCUGUGGCAUAUGCUCGCAGGAGCCACAGACAGAGCAUUUUGCAGGAUUUGGUGCUUUGCUCCCAUCCCAGGUUCAGAUCACACGUACUCAGAAUCAGCGUAACCCUGAGGGGCAGUGUGGUGAGAGUGCCCGCCACGUGUGGGCUCUAAAACCAGACCAGUGUGCUGGGAUCCCGGCGCCCCGCUUCCUCACGGCUCCAUGGAGCAGCGUAACUAGGCCACUUACCAUCUCUGUGCCCAGGUUUCCCCAUCUGUAACAUGAGGGUUAUAAUGAAUCCCACCUCCAUGGUAUUCGGAGGGUGAAAUAAGUUCAUGUAUGUACCUCUGUGGCACCUGGGAAGUAUUAUAAUAGUGUCAUAUCAUCAUCAUCGACAUCAGCAUUAUUAAGUAAAGAAGUAAAUUUUUUAGAUGUAAAAUACUGUUAAGAAUUUUUCUUUUUUUCUGGGCAGUUCUAUGAUGACACAUAGUCUGCUACUAAUAGGAUCCUAUUAACAUUUAGCUUCAAAGCUUAUUAGCAGGAGCCUCUUCCUGGGAGUUCCCUUCGUGGCUCAGCAGUUCAUGAACCCAA